UAGCGGAGAGGCGUUGGCGGUGCUGGUGAUGAACGUUCGGCUGGUUUUACAAGACACUUUGCCAUAACACAUCAGCUAUUUCUAAAGGUCAAAGAGGGGACCAGUCGGGUUCUAAAGCGUGUUUCUUUAGGUUCAUGGUACAGAAGAAGGGUCAGACUACCACCAGGGUCAUAAAACUACCCCUGGAAAUGCCCACAACUCCUACGAAAGCCUUGUCAAAUAUGUGUUCUUGGGCGGCGAAAUGUCUCAUAAUACGGGUUUUAAUGAGUGUUUCUUCAGGUUCAUGGUACAGAAGAAGGGUCAGACUACCACCAGGGUCAUAAAACUACCCCUGGAAAUGCCCACAACUCCUACGAAAGCCUUGUCAAAUAUGUGUUCUUGGGCGGCGAAAUGUCUCAUAAUACAGGUUUUAAUGAGUGUUUCUUCAGGUUCAUGGUACAGAAGAAGGGUCAGACUACCACCAGGGUCAUAAAACUACCCCUGGAAAGGCCCACAACUCCUACGAAAGCCUUGUCAAAUAUGUGUUCUUGGGCGGCGAAAUGUCUCAGAAUACGGGUUUAAUGAGUGUUUCUUCAGGUUCACGGUACAGAAGAAGGGUCAGACUACCACCAGGGUCAUAAAACUACCCCUGGAAAUGCCCACAACUCCUACGAAAGCCUUGUCAAAUAUGUGUUCUUGGGCGGCGAAAUGUCUCAUAAUACAGGUUUUAAUGAGUGUUUCUUCAGGUUCACGGUACAGAAGAAGGGUCAGACUACCACCAGGGUCAUAAAACUACCCCUGGAAAUGCCCACAACUCCUACGAAAGCCUUGUCAAAUAUGUGUUCUUGGGCGGCGAAAUGUCUCAUAAUACAGGUUUUAAUGCGUGUUUCUUCAGGUUCAUGGUACAGAAGAAGGGUCAGACUACCACCAGGGUCAUAAAACUACCCCUGGAAAGGCCCACAACUCCUACGAAAGCCUUGUCAAAUAUGUGUUCUUGGGCGGCGAAAUGUCUCAGAAUACGGGUUUAAUGAGUGUUUCUUCAGGUUCACGGUACAGAAGAAGGGUCAGACUACCACCAGGGUCAUAAAACUACCCCUGGAAAUGCCCACAACUCCUACGAAAGCCUUGUCAAAUAUGUGUUCUUGGGCGGCGAAAUGUCUCAUAAUACGGGUUUAAUGAGUGUUUCUUCAGGUUCACGGUACAGAAGAAGGGUCAGACUACCACCAGGGUCAUAAAACUACCCCUGGAAAUGCCCACAACUCCUACGAAAGCCUUGUCAAAUAUGUGUUCUUGGGCGGCGAAAUGUCUCAGAAUACGUG